GUACAGCCCCAGCGGGGUUGGUCCCGGGCCGGGAGACCAGAGACCCGAGACCCGGCUUGAGCCGGGAACAAGCCAUGCUGGUAGGAAAGAAGACCGCAUCUCCUCAGGCAGCUGGACCCCAUCUUGAGAGGAUACACCUGUGACCUGAGGCUUCCUGCCAAAACUACUAGCCGAGACCGGGGUCUGGAGGAGGAAGUGGUUCUGGAGCUGCUGGGGCUGUGGACGUUCCUCAGCAAGGCUUGGGGCAGCUUUGCCUCCUUAACUCCUUGACCUUGCUGAGGAAGAGAUGACCAAUUCCCAGUGUUUUUAGGGACUUCCCUGGUGGUCCAGUGAUUAAGAAUCCAUGCUUCCAGUGCAGGGGGCGCGGGUUCAAUCCCUGGCUGGAGAACUGAGAUCCCACAUGCUGCACGGUGCAGCCAAAAAAAUGUUGCCAAGUUUAUACCCUUUGUACCACGGAAGCUGGUGUAGAUGUUUGCUCACUGAAGAGGAAUUACUGUUCAUUGGUGUCUUAGGAACCUGUUACGUUCAAGGAUGUGGCCGUGGACUUCACCGAGGAGGAGUGGGGGCAGCUGGACCCUGCACAAAGGGCCCUGUACAAAGAGGUGAUGCUGGAGAUCUAUGGCAACCUGGUCUUAGUGGGAAAGAAACUUUAUGACUGUGCCGAGUCUGGCAAGAGCUUCAGUCAGAGCACAGACCUUCACAUCCACCAGAGAGUCCGCACGAGAGAGAAACCUUCCAUGUGCGACACAUGCGGCAAAGGCUUUUGUUAUAACACGAAUCUUCGCGUGCAUCAGAGGGUCCACACAGGAGAGAAACCUUGUAAGUGUGAGGAGUGUGGCAAGGGCUUCCAUCAGAGCCCCAACCUUUGCAUCCACUGGAGAGUCCACACUGGAGCAAAACCGUACAAAUGUGAGAAGUGUUGUGAGAGCUUCAGACAGAACGUAGACCUCCAAGAGCAUUAGAGGGUCCACACAAGAGAAACCGUUUCAAUGUGAAAUCCUUAAAGCACAAGCUUCUGUGCUCAUCAGAAAGUCCACACAGGAGAGAAACCUGUAGGUGUGAGGAGUGUGGGAAGGAUUUCGAUCACAGUGAAUCUUCACGUUCUCCAGAAAAUGAAACUGCAAAUGUGAUGGGUGUGUGAUAAGGGUUUCUUCAGUUAGAGCUUAGAUCUUCGAGUUUAUCUAAGAAUUAAUACAGGAGAAAACCCAUUUAUAUGUGCUAAGUGUAGUAAGGGCUUUGGAAAGAGCGCUAACCUUGAGUUCCAUAAGUCCCCACAGGAGAGCAAUGUUACAAAUGUGCAAGUGUGGUAAAGGGUUUCUUUGGAACACAGAGCUUCUCUGCAGAGCGUCUACGCAGGGGAGAAACCAUUGAUUUCAGUGUCUGUGGUUGGGGCUUCCGUUACAGCACAAACCUUCAUGCACAUCAGAGUCCAUGCGGGGUAGAGACCCCGUGCGCGUGAGAAGCAAGUCAGGCCUUCACAUCCAUCUGACUCCACGUGAGAGAAAACCCUGCAGGUGUAGGUGUGUGCAUAUCUCCCCCUUCCCCAGAGAGCCUGUUUCUACCACGAUUCUGGCAGCUCCAAGAGAGGGCAGCUGCGUGUGCUUUGCUCGCCAUUGUGUCCCCAGCUCCUGGCACAGUGCCUGGCAGGAGUAGCCACCUAGUAAAUAUUUGUUGAAUGAGAAUCCAUGUGGGAGAGAACCCCUAUUUGUGUGAUAGUGGGGUAAGGACUUCAAGGUCAACAUGUUGAAGCCUUUUUAGAAAGUGUGUUCACAGUCAGAUCAUGGGUUUUGUCAUGAGUUAAUCCCUGCAGGAGAGAAAUCCUGUGAACCUGAUGAUUAUACUAAUGGACUUAGAGAUAAAUGAUCAAAUUAUUAAAUCGGUGCAGUAAAUUUAAAAAUACAUGUCUUCAGAAUCCACACCCCCAAAACUGUAUCAGCUGUAAAAAUACUUUAGUCAAAACUCAUACAUUAAAAUGUGUAUCUAUUCAGGAAAAAAAAAAUCCUGUGUGUACCCUAAUGAAGUUAUGUGUCAGGCUCUGGACUGACCACCUCCGCAUAAGGUGGACUCCGCCAGAAUCUGGUAGCAGUAGCUCUUCUUUUGUUUUAUAUUUCAUCUCAAAGAGGUUUAUGUUAGACAUAACCAAUGAGUUAUCCAGGGCCAAGGAUUAACAAGGUCUUCCUUUUGGGAGAGAUGCCCCUUACCUGGCAAAGUGCCCUUCUAGGCUGGAAGUCUCCUGGCCCUGAUUGAGUGUCUCCCUGCCCAUCAUGUCAUCAGGCUGCUGGGAGCUUCGCACCAUGGAUUAUAGAAAUCCCCAGGAUUUUGCAAGCAGUCUCUAAUGCUUCCCAGUCCCUACUGACAACAGUAUUAACUCUUCUAAUUACAAAAUGAUACAUGCCUAUUGUAAAAUAUGAAAACAUUAUGAAACAAAAGUAAGUGUAACUGGUUUAAUCAUGGAGUGUCAACUCAGUGGGGUAUAUAAGAUCAUGAAAUGGUUCUUUUUUCCCCCCAGGCUCUGCCUUCAUCCAUGUUCUGUUGAAUCCUCAUGAAUGAAUGAAUGAAUGAAUGAGUGAGUACUGAGUGGGAAAGAGACAUUGAGGGAGGGCUUUAGGAAAGAGGAAGGCUUUCCCUCACCAAUUCCCUGAAGAAGAAUACAAACUGGAUAAAAGAUUACAACUGGUGAAAAUAUUUCCAAUCCAUAUCACAGACAAAGAGAUGCAUCUGCCUAUUUAUCAAGCGCUCUUAGAAAUCAAGAAGAAAAAGCACAGGGACUUCCCUGGUGGUGCAGUGGUUAAGAAUCCGCCUGCCAAUGCAGGGGACACGGGUUUGAGCCCUGGUCCAGGAAGAUCCCACAUGCUGCAGAGCAACUAAACCCGUGCGCCACAACUACUGAUCCUGCACUCUAGAGCCUGCGGGCCACAACUACUAAAGCCCAUGUACCUAGAGCCCGUGCUCCACCACAAGAGAAGCCACUGCAAUGAGAAGCCCGCGAACCUUAACGAAGAGUAGUCCCCACUCGCCACAACUAGAGAAAGCCCCCACACAGCAACAAAGACCCAAUGCAGCCAAAAUUUAAUUAAUUAAUUAAGAAGAAAAAGCACACAAAAAAAAUGUGAAGAGACUGUUCAGACAUAAUACAAAUGGCCCUUAAAUGUAUGGAAGGAUGACAGACUUUUCUCAUAAUAUGAGAAAUGCACAUCAAAACCAUGCUGAGAUACCAUUUCUCACCUAUGGGAUUAGCAAAAAAUUGAAAACUAAAAAAAAAAACAACUGUUGUUAAUGAGGCAUACAGAAGUAGGCAUUUUCAUACAUUGCCGUUGGGCUUGCAAAAUGGAACAACUCCUACGGAGAAGAAUUUGACAAUAUCUACCAACACUGUAGAUACAUUUGCCUUUUGAUCCAGAUAUUCUAUUUCUGAGACUCUAUCCCACAGAUACACUUGUACAUAUGUUUCGCAAAUAUUUGGCAUUGUUUCCAAUAGUAAAAAAUAGAAAACAACACAAAUGUCCACCAACAGAGAACUGGUUUAAUAAACUAUAUCCACACAGUGGAAUGGUAUGCAGCUGUAAUAAAAAGUAAGGAAAAUUUCCUUGUUGAAAUGGA